rnacentral:lncRNA from 1 species
CUGAAUUGAAGUGCAAGAAAGGGAGAGAAAAGCUUUUACGUAGUUGACUGGCACCAAGGAAAUUCUAGCAACAUAUCUUUGGGGUGCAAGACGGGAGGUCUUGUAGAAAUGCAUACAGGAUACUGGAACACACGAAUUAACAGAAAUUCACCAUCCUCCUCCUCUAUUUUUUUCUAGACUAGAAGACACAUGGAACAGAGCAGAGGUGACCUACGUAAGGUCACACUUCUGGCUGGUGUCCUAAGAUUCAACCGAAUGCAGAGAACUCACUACCAUCAGGUCCCGUGAAGGUAACAUUCGAGACUACCCUUACUGUUUAGUGGUACUGCUUUGGGAGAAAUUUAUACCUGGAUUUACUAUAUGGAAAUGCUGUAUCCGAAAUCUAAAAUGUGAGUAGAAUCCUGCAAUCCAACACUGAGUAAGAACCAGGAGGAUAAAGAUGAAGAUGAAGAUAAAGUGAAAACACUAAACGACUUUGAAGUGACAGCCACUGGGGCUAAUGGGACAUGAGGAAAACAUCACUCUGCAUGAGAAGAAAGGAGAACCUUUUUAAGUACUGGUAAGAAAGUUAGCAUGCUGUUGCCUGGGACAAAGUAGAAAUGCUCCUGUUGACAUGGGGACAUCUAUCUGAGGAAAUUCCCAGGCAGGGUAUUAAAGAGUAUGGGUUUAGACUUUCUAUAAAAUACAAUGAGACAAAUAAGCUAAAAGAAGAGCUAUUUUAAUUUUUAAUUUUUUUAAAAUUUAAAGUAAAAAAAAUGCUAUAUUUAAAGGUUCCUAGCCUCUAUGGAUGCCUCGGUGCUAGACUGUGAAAAUGCCUUCUAGGUAAAGAUAACAUCAGAGGCAUCAGAGGAAAGCAUGAUAAGAAGAUAAAGCCUACCUUGUGUUUGUAAAAUCACUUGUUAAGAUCUGGGAAUAUCCAGGCAGUGCCUUGGGGAACAACUGAGAGGAACAACAGAGGCUUCUAACGAGGCUAAAGGUCAUACUCUUGUGCAGUCCCCAAAUCCCCAUGGCAGCCUAACAUCCAAGAAUGAUCUUCUCAGAAGACCCAUGGUCGUGGUCUUAACAAAUGUAAUGAGCAUCACUCAUAUUUCCAGAGGAACCACAACUUUUAUAGACUUAGCGAGGCCAUAUCUAACGAGGACUCAAAGAGACAUGGACAAUUUAAAGUGAAGAGGCCUCUGAACUCUAGGAAGAAGGGAAACCAUGAAAGCAGAAAAUAUGGACUGUGUGUAUGGAAAGACACUCUAGAAAGCACAGAAGGAGCCGAGAACCAGAGGGACCUAUUCUCUGGCUCUGGCUCUUAAUCAGGGAGGGACUCCUGCAGGUCCUGAUGAAGUUCUGUUCUGCUAUGGACCAGUGUGUCUUGUGUGAUGGCUAUCUUUCUCCUCUGUGUGUCAUCCCCUCAUGCUCUCCUUGAAUAUUGAGUUUCAUGUUAGGUUUCAGCAGACAGAUAACCUAUGUCUUCAGAGCCUAGGCCACAAACAAACCCCAAUAACAACUAAAACUUUUGUGUGAAACCAAAAGGGAAAUUGAAAAAAGUCUUGAAGACCAGUGAAAAAGGAAAUAAAGCAAUAACAAACACAGGGUGCGGCAAAAGAAAUCCAGGGUUUUAGGAGUCAAGAAAUGGGCUUGAGUCUCCCUAGGCUUCUGUAGAGGCAGAGCUGAAGCAAUGCUGAGAUGGGAGUGAGAGACUUGGAAGGGAUACAACUCUGCACGUUAAAAGUCACAAAUCAAUGGGUGCCUAAGGUGAGUCUCGUGUCCCAGGUCCGAGAUGGCCUUUGGUGACCUGAUUCAUGUUAGUGCAGACAGACCUCUUCCCCAGUGAGUGGGGUUGGUCUGUGUAACAGAAUAUUUCCGAAGGAAGGCAUGUGACUCCAGUGACUAGGUUAGGAAAUACUUAGCAGCUUCUACGCCUUGCUUUGUUGGAUCACUUACUGUGUGAGAAAUCAGCUGCUAUAAUAUGGCAUAUCCAUAAUAUGGGGAUACCCAAGCAGCUGUAUGCUCCAUAUGCUCCUGAAAUUCUAACUCAGAGCAGAGAGAUAAAAUGUUCAUUGUUUCACUGGGAGACUAAGUUUUAUGAAAAUAUUGUAUGCAGCAAAGGAUACUCAACACAAAUAAAACUGACAUGUUUUCCAAAUCUUUAGAAACUGAAGUUCCAUGACAGCCCUAACUUUAGUAGGUACAUUUCUUGUCACUGUAACAAGAUGGCUGGCAGAGACAGUCUAAAAGAAGUAAAUUUUUUGGCUCGUGGGUUUUUGUUUGUGUUUGUAUAAUAUAGUAUUUUAAUUACCUCUCUGAGUUCGAUGCCAGCUUGGUCUACACAGUGGGUUCCAGGGACAGCCAGGACUACAUAGAGAGACCCUGACUCAACAAAACAAAACAAACAAAUAACUAUUUGUGUGAAGCCAAAAGAGGGUUGUUUUUGUUUUGUUUUGAUCUACCAAUGAAAACAGAAAUGUAGAAAAUGGAAACACACAGGACACAAAGAAGUCCCGAGAGGAAAGUUGAUGGUGAUACAUGCCAAUAAUGAGAAAAAAGAAAGAUCUCAAAUAAACGACCUGAUUCUAUAUCUCAAGGAACUAGAGAGAGAGAGAACAGGAAGAAAAUCAAUACGAGAUCUAGUAGGAUAAUAUACAUAGGACACGCCAGAGCAUAAAUAGAUGAAGAAGCAGUUCGAGAAUCAACAUGUUGUGGUGGAGCAUCAGUUAUUCCAUGAACAUCACAGAGUAGAAACAGCGGUGGUCCAGUAGCCAUGGCAACAAAACAAGCAGAAGAACACAACAACAGCUAGGUGUGUAGUAACAGUAAGGAAGUUAUUGACAAGAUGCUGAUGGAAAGUAUACUCAGAGUACCCUUGCUUGGGAUUCUAGCCAUUCCGUUUCCACGCCUUCCCCAGCAAGUGAUCUUGGCAGAUGCUUGAGCCCACAGAAGUAGAAGUGUGAUUCAGGGAUGCAGCUUCCAUAGGGUUCUUAUCCAGGAUGGGAUGGCAUGUUGCAGUGAUAAAGCUGUUUAGACAUCACCCACACUUCUGUUACGGUUCAUUCGUGCUCCUGUAAGCUCAAUAUACUAACUAGUUCAGCAAGCUUGACUUGAGUGGGCUCAUUACCUUGGUCUGUCCCAAUCUGGGGCAAAUAAAUGUUUAUUUAUCUCUUCCCAGAAGAAGAAAUGCAACAAAACAGAAAAGAUCAGUGAAACUUGAAGCUUUUUUUUUUUAAAGAUUAAAGCGAACAAACUUUUACCUAGAUUAGUAAGAGGGAAGAGUCAAAUAAGCAAUUGACAUCAUAAAAUGAAGAAGACGUCACAGUUAGUACUGCAGAAUCACAAAGCCUAAGAGACUGGGGUGAGCAGGAUCUUCAACAAGCCGAACAACCUAGAAGAGAUGGACAGGUUCCUCAGAACGACAGCCUAACAGGAUGGAGCCACAGACAGAGACUGACGGAUUAGUAACCAGUGUGGAGAUGGAAGUAUCUCCAGGACCUCACCCCGGCUUCCCAAUGGUUCCCUGGUUCUUGUGAUCUCAACUGACCUAUUGUAGAUGCUAUAGGUAAGGUUUAUUACAGAGUAAUUGGAAACACUCUCACAGAGUGAGACUAGACAAUGGCCAGAGAGACCAUUACAAGGAGCUACACAUUUAGUGUGACUCAUAGCACUUUCUGAAGUCUCUGGGGGCAGAGAGCUUUCCCAAGGGGCAUUUUCCUGCUUGAGUGACUGACAGGCCUAUCUAGAUGAAUUCUUCAAGAGGAAGACAGUAACAAGUCUUUGUUCCUUACCAAAAGGCCUCCAGCAAUCUUGGGAUCUUUUUGGGUAGUUCAGACAGUCUCUCUUCCCCAUGGCCAAAGAUAUGACUCUCACCCCAUUUUUUUUUUCUGAAAUCAUGCAUCAGCACAGAUUAGCAAGAAGUAAAGAAAGAAAACUAAGCAAGUAUAAGGAAUAACCAUGCUUUCUUUAGCAGAAGCAGGAAGGUCUUCCCUGCCUGGACCCCAAGAAAGCAUGCUAUGUCCCCCUUUCUCACCUAUGUCUAAUCCAUAGUCCCCCGUCGUGGGAUCUUAGAUCUUGGGGGCAACUUGAUAUCUUCUCUCCAUUUCCACAUGCCUAAGAAGGUCAAUUAUGAUGUUUCCCCCCUUUUAUAAAACAGAGAGGCAAGAUGGCGUCCAAAGCUGAUUAUGAAGGAGGAGGUUCAUCCUCAGCAACCUUCAAGCUUGCUCAUUUCUAAGUAGCAAACACUAUCAACAAUCAUGAAGUCUGGAGCUUAGAAGAAUGUGGUAAUGUGCAGGACUAGAAGGGAGGGAGCCCUGUUUCGAGGUUGCAUCCACACUUUUAAACUCUCCUGAAGUCUCUAUGAUAAGAGGAAUCUAACCGAAACGAUUGGCUUGCAAACAUCUCGGCACUACUAAGUACAACACACACAGGGCCAUUCUAUCAAAGCCUUGAGUUAGAGGUCCGCUCUGAGAACCAUGCUCUGCAGACCAUGCUCUGAGGACCACGCCCCGCUGUGAGAAAAACAGAGCCGACCUCACACCUUGGUACCUCCCCGUCUUCAAUAGAUUAAAAAGGACUGCAGCAAGAGCUUGCAAGCCUCUCUCUCACUUCCUCUCUCUUGCUCAGGAGAACUGUGAGAACUAACUGUUGAUCUGAAAGCAACCAUGAUUUGCUACAGAGGUGCGAGCUUGCACAGAGACCUGUGAAAUCCCACAGAACACAGGAAGUGUCUAAUUCCGCUGGAUCGGGCUGGUGUCAAGGCAGCUGACAGCUUCAGAGCCAAGAGCCUCCAGAAUCCUUUUUGGUAAGGAAUGUCAGCUACAAGGGGAAUCCCUACCUCACCAUCUACACAGAGUUCAAAGGAAAUGCAGAUUUAAUCAUUUGGUUUCUGUGUGACUUUCAAGUCAAAGUGAAACUAGAAUGUGAAUAUCAGAGCGUGUGAACCUUUUUGGUACGAAGCCUGGGUUCCCCUCUUACUGCUGCGGUGUGUAGAGGAUUGUGCAAUGUAAUAGCAGCAUCCAAGAUACACAGGGUCUCUGCUUCGACUCUCAAGAUGACUGCUGAUGCUCGGAGCUGAGCUGCAGAGUGCAGCAGCUCAUUGUUUGGGCCAGGAGUGUGCACGUGAAAAAUGACUCGCCGCACACUCUGCUUCCAUUCUGGUGCUCCGGGAAUGGAUUGACUUCAAAGAACUCUUUAAAAAUUAAAGUUAGGGGGACUGGAGAGAUGGCUCACUGGUUGAGAUUACUGACCGCUCUUCCAGAGGAGCCAGGUUCAAUUCCCAGCACCUAUAUGGCAGUUCAUAACUGUCUGUAACUCCAAGAUCUGACACCCUGAUGCAGACAUACAUGCAAACAAAACACCAAUGCACAUGAAAUAAAACUAAACUUAGAAUGCCACCUAGCAGUAGUGAAACUAAGUUCAAUCCCCAGAGCCAUUAAAUAAAUAUAAUGCAUGUAUAUGCAUAUAUACAUAUACAUAAUCUAUUUAUAAUUUAUAUUUCUCCAUUGGUGAACAAAAGUUAGAAUACAUGUUCAUUGUUAAAAAUAAGAAACAGAACACGGGUGAUGACCAACCUAAACAUCACCAGUGUGGUCUUACACAAAUAGGUUCCCUUUUCUUAUUUCAUUUAGAAACCCACUAAGCAAUUGGUGUAAUACUCCAUUUAGAGCAAGAACACCACAGAGUUGUCUCUGAUAUCCACAUAAAUGCUAUGACAUGCUUGCCUCCCUAUAUACACACAUCAUGUAUGUGUGUGUGUAAACACAUACACACACACACACACACACACACACACACACAGAGAGAGAGAGAGAGAGAGAGAGAGAGAGAGAGAGAGAGAGAGAGAUAUUAAAAAUAAAUCUAGUACCAGAACCUGAGUUUGAUCCCCCAAACCAUGUAAAAAAAAAAUCCAACCAUGUGAUGUAUGCUUGUAAUUCUAGCUCAGGGGAGGGAGAGCCAGGCAGACAGAUCCCUUUGUCUGAAGAAAGAAAGUGGAUGUCUCCAUGGAAGGACACCUGAAGUUAACCUCUGACCCCCACAGGCAUGCACAUGCAUAUGAACAUGUACCCACACACAUGAACAUACACAGGAAAACACUUCUCUUACGCCAUGCAUACCAUAAUUUGUAUAAAAUUCCACCAUAAAGGAGAGCUGGUUUCAGCUUCCUUUAUUAUAAACUAUACUGCAGCAACUAUAUGUGAAUACACAUUUUUUUCUGUUUAGCAUCAAUUUCGUACUAUUAAAUUUUCAAAAAAU